CCUACGGGAGGCAGCAGUGAGGAAUAUUGGUCAAUGGGCGAGAGCCUGAACCAGCCAAGUCGCGUGAGGGAGUACUGCCCUAUGGGUUGUAAACCUCUUUUAUAAGGGAAUAAAGUGUGGGACGUGUCCUAUUUUGUAUGUACCUUAUGAAUAAGGAUCGGCUAACUCCGUGCCAGCAGCCGCGGUAAUACGGAGGAUGCGAGCGUUAUCCGGAUUUAUUGGGUUUAAAGGGUGCGCAGGCGGCCUGUUAAGUCAGCGGUAAAAGCCCGGGGCUCAACCCCGGCGAGCCGUUGAAACUGGCGGGCUGGAGUUGGAGAGAAGUACGCGGAAUGCGCGGUGUAGCGGUGAAAUGCUUAGAUAUCGCGCAGAACCCCGAUUGCGAAGGCAGCGUACCGGCUCCACACUGACGCUGAGGCACGAAAGCGUGGGUAUCGAACAGGAUUAGAUACCCGAGUAGUC
rnacentral:rRNA from 1 species